UGUGCUCCUUUUGUAUUAGUACAUGAAUUAUAAAUAAAUAAAAGUUAUUUUGGUAUUUUUCUAUCACAAAUGUUUCAUCUUCUAAUGAACUCCUGUGUUGUGGUGAAGUCCUUAGGACUAUUUAGACUCGACAAAGGAGGAUUUGUCGUUUAGUCCUUAAACAUGUUCGCGACCAAAUGAUACGUUGUUACUAAGGACGACAAUAUU
rnacentral:lncRNA from 1 species